rnacentral:rRNA from 1 species
UACGGGGGGGGCAAGCGUUGUUCGGAAUUACUGGGCGUAAAGGGCGCGUAGGCGGUUUGCUAAGUUGGAUGUGAAAACUCUGGGCUUAACCCAGAGCCUGCAUCCAAAACUAGCAGGCUAGAGUUCUGGAGGGGAUAGCGGAAUUCCUGGUGUAGCGGUGAAAUGCGUAGAUAUCAGGAGGAACACCGGUGGCGAAGGCGGGUCUCUGGGCCGAUACUGACGCUGAGGAGCGAAAGCGUGGGGAGCGAACAGG